UACGGGGGGUGCAAGCGUUGUUCGGAAUUAUUGGGCGUAAAGAGCGUGUAGGCGGCUGAAUAAGUCAGAUGUGAAAUCCCUGGGCUUAACCCAGGAAGUGCAUUUGAAACUAUUCAGCUUGAGUAGGGGAGAGGAAAGUGGAAUUCCUGGUGUAGAGGUGAAAUUCGUAGAUAUCAGGAGGAACACCGGUGGCGAAGGCGACUUUCUGGCCCUAUACUGACGCUGAGUCACGAAAGCGUGGGUAGCAAACAGG
rnacentral:rRNA from 1 species